ncrna:unclassified sequences skipping-rope RNA
AAAGAUAGAAGUAGAAAACUCGGGCGCUACACACCUUUGCGCAAGGUUUCUGGAGAUGAGGGGAAUGCCCGUCCCUCCUAUCUUU